GGAAUCCAAACAUGUAAAUGUAUUUUCUCUCUAACGAUAAAGAUUACGAACCUGUUGGCCUCUUGCAUUUUUUCUUAUUCCUAGGACCAUACAAUUCUAACAGGUAUUUAAAUCAAUAUCCUAUUGAGUUUCAGAUAGCUCACAUUGCUUUAUCUGAUGGUCACAAA